UUCUUUCAAAUAAAUACAUGCUAGUUAGCUGGCUAGCUAAGAGCCAGAACCGGUUCCCACGUCUUAGCUGCAUGGAAGCAAAUAUUCUCAUACGAGGACUGGGUAUAUGUAUAUCUAAAUUACAUUUUGAUUAUCAGAAGUGUAGUUAAUAUGAAGUUACUAUCGGAAAGUUAAUCUGAAGGACUCCUUUCUCAAAUACGUUUUACUGUGCUUAGACGCCGUCGGGAAGGUUGGAGGGGAGCCAGCGCGGACUUUUUUUUCAGCGUGAGAAAUACGAUGUGUGGCGUAACACUUGAGAGCCCUGACGCCACCAGUUACAGCGCACGCAAAGCUCUUCACAAUCGAAUGCAUUUAUUCCAUGCUAAAUGCAUUAAAUCGACAUUGACAAGAGCGCAAGUGCAUAGAAACUGCAGUUUGACUAACGUCAGGCAGAAUUACACGUUAAAGCUCUGCAGCUCUGCUUCGUGCUGAGGUUAGCUAAGCUGUUCUUUUCUGCCGGUAUUUUAUGAUAAUGCCUAAAACAAGCGCACGGGGUUUUUUUUUUUCUUUUACCGACUGACUCAGCUAAAUAGCUGCUGAUUUAAUCGGCUUUGAUCAAAGACUACUAUUUCUGUGCUAAUUCAUGUUGUUUUCAUGUGCUAAAAACUCUGGUUUUAGAGAGGCAUGACUGACUCCUAUUUGGACUUGUUUUAAUCUGUCUUAUUCUUUAUCAUUUUACAGGAAAUGUUGGCUAAAGUGGAAAUUGGAGGGGUCCUAAAAUACGUGAAAAUUCCAGAGACUGAUGGAUUUUUUCAAUUUGAUAUGUUCCUUCAAGAAGUGAACGACAAGUUUAGUCUGCACCCAGACAGCUUCAGCGAGGGCCAGUUCACCAUCACAGAUAUGUCAGGAACAGAGGUGGAUGGAGAUAUCUUUGAUGAGGUUGUCAAGUCGGGUGUCCUGACCUUCAAGGUCCCUUUACCAGUAAUGGAUCUGGAUGUUGAGCUGGUUGCAGAUCAAGCAUCCUCCUCUGUAUUGACAUCGCUGUCCCCAACUUCAUCCCAUUCAUCCUUGGUAGUGGCACAGACUGCACUAUCCCCAGCUUUAUCCCAUUCAUCUGAUUCCACCGUUAUUCUGGAGUCCACAAGAAAAAGGAGGAACCCAACAGGGUUAAUGGACCAGAAUGAAGCAAAACAGAUGGUUGAGGGUGUUCUGAGGGCCAAUCCAAAGGGUGAAGAAGUCUUUAAUGAGUAUGAUAAGACUAAAACACUAACUGAUGCAACCCGUAAACAAAUGGUGAACAUCCUGGUUGCAGAUAUGAUAGAGCUACAUGGGAGGGUUCCACCGUCAAGUGUAAGGACCAAUUAUGCACUGGGAAUUGUGACUCUUUUUCCAUACCUCCGUGAUCCAUUCUCCAAACUUGGAUAUGAUGGGACAGUGAUAUGUCUUCAAUCCUUUUGCUGCUGCAUCUACUCCCUCCAACUUCAAGGGGCCAGAAAAAAACUGCCAAGAUCAGUUCAGCUCAAGCAACCAGCCAUCUUGUUAGAUAUCUUAAGGAAGGAGCCAGUAUUCCUACCUUCCUUGAGAGUGUCGACGCAAACAACCGUUCCUCCUUUGCAUCGGUGAGCAAAAGAAGAAUAUCCAAAGGUUCUACCUUAUUAUCGACCGAAAACCACUCCCGUGCAAGGCACACACAUCAGUGGCAGCUUUAGACAUUACAUUUGGCCGCCUGUUCAAAUGUUACAAGUACAAGGUGGGUCAGAUAUUACGGUACUGAGUACCAGGUUGGGUUGUACUUAUGCACUGGAUGUACCGAUGAUCUUCCUGUGUUCAAAAAGAUCUGUGAUAUUAUAAUACAUGAACAGCACGCUUUCAUAAUAUCCUGUAAUGUACAAACAAUGUACUAUGAUGACCACUUUAGUGCAUACUGUAUAGAAGACCAAAUGAAUGUGUUUUCUGUCAUAUCUGUGAAGGCACUGACUUAUUUUAGACCAUUUGACAAGCAAUGCUCUAAUGACAAUAGUCAAAGAGCGAACAUAGUGCCUUAUUGUUACAUUUAGAUAAAUGUACAGCAAUGAAAAAAAUUUGGUAAUGUUGAUGCAUUUGAAGAAAUAAAAAUGUUAAAGUAGUGAACUUGUCAUUUGUAUUUCUAAUUAU
ensembl:lncRNA